GACGAACGCUGGCGGCGUGCUUAACACAUGCAAGUCGAACGGAAAGGCCCUGCUUUUGUGGGGUGCUCGAGUGGCGAACGGGGGAGUAACACGCGAGUAACCUGCCCUUGACUUUGGGAUAACUUCAGGAAACUGGGGCUAAUACCGGAUAGGAUCUCCUGCUGCAUGGUGGGGGUUGGAAAGUUUCGGCGGUUGGGGAUGGACUCGCUGCUUAUCAGCUGGUUGAGGGGGUAGGUGCUGACCAAGGCUUCGACGGGUAGCCGGCCUGAGAGGGGGACCGGGCACAAUAGGCCUAAGAUACGGCGCAGUAUCCUACGGGCGGCAGCAGUGGGGAGUAUGACACAGUAGGCGUGAGUCUGAUACAGCAGUCUCGGGUGCGGGAUACCGGCCUUCGGGUGAUAAACCGCUUUCGACGGUACCGAAGCGUGAGUGACGGUAAUGGGUAAGGAAGCCACGGCUAACUACGUG
rnacentral:rRNA from 1 species